rnacentral:rRNA from 1 species
UACGUAGGGGACAAGCGUUGUCCGGAUUUACUGGGCGUAAAGAGCGCGCAGGCGGUCGGUCAAGUCGAGUGUGAAAGCCCCCGGCUCAACUGGGGAGGGUCAUUCGAAACUGGUCGACUCGAAGGCAGGAGAGGGUAGUGGAAUUCCCGGUGUAGUGGUGAAAUGCGUAGAUAUCGGGAGGAACACCAGUGGCGAAGGCGACUACCUGGCCUGUUCUUGACGCUGAGGCGCGAAAGCUAGGGGAGCAAACGGG